GAAAAUGAGACUGGCCAGCUGUGAUUCCUGCAUUUCUGUUCUCAUCAGUGCUCAGAAUUACAUUUCUUUCUCUCCCAAAGGCUUCAUGACAACGCUUACUGUUGAUCUAGAGAGCAGCAGCACCAAGAAUCUUCAAUAAGGACAAGUUUAAGAGCUAUAAGCAGUUGUGUGGACUCCUUAGAGCCUUCUGCCUGAGAUGAUGCUGCCAGAGGGCCCUUGCCAGAUAUUGCCACCUUGAUAUUAGACUUCCCAUCCUCCAAAACGGGUAGUGUCACUAGCAGAGCAAUCUCCAGUUCAUAUGGGUGGUGACAGAAGAGGGAUCCUGCAGCAUCAAGGGCUCCUUUGCAAUGAUUUCUGUCUAGAUGGCAAUCAUGAGGGGCCUUGUUUUUCUGCUUUGUGUGUGAGUGGGAACGUGUGUCAGCAUCAACCUUGCAUUUAUCAACAACAUCCUCAUUUUUGUUUGGCGAGGUGGUGAGGGAUCCAUGCAGGAGGAAAUGAAGUGACUGCAUUUAUCUCAAUGUUCCCAAGGGUCAGGUAAGGUGCUCUCAUGCUAUGGUAUAUGACAAGGUGGGUGACAUUUAAUGAAUAAAUAGACAACCUUUUAGAGGAAUCAGUGCUGCUUCUCACAUGAAUCAAUGACCGAGUCAAUUGUUAUAA
rnacentral:lncRNA from 1 species